UCAAGACUUUAAGUUUACUUUCUUGUCCAAGCCCAAUGUCAAAUUCUUGUUAAUAUCCUUGGAGUAGCAACAAGAGCUUUCCACAUUGGGGUUUAGUUGAUUUCAGAAAAUGAAGUUGGCAAUUUGGAGUGAGUAUCACAAGUACUUUUAGGUAUCCAAAAGACUAUCUAUGUUCUACACUAGAGAAACCUGUUUGUCUGUAUUCAACAGUAGUCUAUUCUUCAUAGCAUCUCAGGUAGUACAGUGGAAGGGGGUAUAGAAAGAGGCUGGUAAACCUGUAUAUUCUUACAAAUCACAAGAAUAUUUUAGGAUUACAUUCUGGUGUUCUGAGUAUAUUGAAUUGACUGCCACAAGAAUAUAAAUGGUUGAAACAUUACACUGCAUUCCCUUAAGUUGUACAACUAUUAUCUGUUGAUUAAAACAUGAGAUUAAGAAAAAUGAUUUUAAGAGAAAACUAUACAUAAUAUGGUAGAUGUUCAUUCAAUAGCACAAACAAUCACUUUGAGUUCAAAUUAUAUAUAUAUUUAUUUAAAUAUAUAUUUAUAUGUAAAUUUAGUGUGACAGAUAUAGCAUGAUUGUAAUAAAAAGCCCAAUGAAAUUAUCUAUUUUCUGUCAGAAAACUGUGUUAGUAUAAAACAUGAUCAGAUUAAAAAGAAACAUCUAGAGAUAGAUAUGGCAUGGUAAUACUAAUCAAAGCAGAUCUAGAAAAGUUGUAUUAAUUUCAGGUGCAAGGGUCAUUCAAGUAAGAUAAACUCAUACAUAAAAGAGGUUAUUCAUAAUGAUUGUGGGGUUAAUUCUAAGAGUAUAUGCAAUCUAAGACACAAAUCCACAGAAAAUAAAAGCAGAAAAAUGGUUGCCAGAAACUUGCAGAAAUGGAAAGGGUAGUGACUGCUUAAUGGCUUCAGGGUUUAUUUUGGGCUGAUGAAAUGUCAUGGCACUAAAUACAACUAAGAGAUGAAUUUGAAAAAUGCAUUUAAUUCUAGUGAACAUUCGCUUUCAAAAGGUUAGUAGUUCAUUUUAUGUUAUGUGCAUUUUCUUCAACACAAAAAUAUGUGAAGAGACAACAAAAUUAUGCAUCUUCAAAAUAUUAUGUAAUAAAUAAUUAUUGCUGAACUAGUAUCUGAUGUGUGCUGUUUCACCCAAUCUCAUAUCCAAGGCAGGCAUUACUUGGUAUAUUGUAAUUUUUUUCUCAUCCGAAUUCUGUUUAGUCAUAUAUUCUCAAUACAGUACUCUAUUUAAUCUCUUACAACUAAGAAAACAUCUGUUCUAGUGUGGCAUUUCAAAACUGUCACCUUACAACAUACACAAACUAACUUCAUCUGUUUGAUACCUUAUUAUGAUACUUAAAAUUCCACCAUCAAAAUUUCAUUCAUUUUGAACUUUUCUAGCUAUUCUACUAAGACAAAGAUUUAUGUGAUGAGUAUCUAUUUAGUUUUAACAUUUAUGUGGCUUGUAGAGAAAGAGGAUAAGUAGAGAGAGAAACUUCACUUUAAGAGAGUUCCAAUGUAAACUUUAGUCCAGUCUAUGAGGUGCUAUUAAGCUACAAUAAUGCUUCAGAGGUAUCCUUGAAGAAUAUGGUGAUAUUGUAUUCCAAUGUGAGUCAGUCAGUUUAUUUGUGAUUUCCUAUGGAAAGAGUUAUGAUUUUGGACAUAGAAGGGUAAAUUACAUGUAGUGCUCAGUUCUGAGUUAUCAUCAGCUACUACAAUAGUUGAAUAAAUAAUCCAUUCUGAAGAGAAAAUCCAAGUGGCAUCUCAUAGCCCAGAUGCACCAAUUUUAAUUAGCAGUUAAAUGUAUACAUCUCAGUAAUUCUACUUAAACUCACUGUAGAGGCAAGAGAAAAAAAUAAGCAUACCAGAUACCCAAGAAUUGAAAAAGAUUCUUCAAAGAGAAGCUAAGUAUCAUAAAAUUAUAAUGAGGUGUCAUGAAGCACAACAUUUGCCAAAUGUUUUGAACUUUCUCCCUCCAUAAUUUAAAAUUCAGUAGCAUGGCAUUGGAAAGCAUUGUGACAGUAGACUUAAUGAAUGAUCAAUGUCUGGAGAUGAAGGUGAACCUAGUUUUAUAUUUAUCACUCACUCCACUAGUGUCAUAGAUUUGUACCAUUGAAAAUCUGUUUUUCAAAGGACCACAAAGACCAUUUGUCUGUUUCUCAGUAAAUCUUCACCAAGCUUGUGUGCUCUUUGUUGAAAAGAACAUUUUGCAAGAAGCAGUAUUUCCUUUAGAGUGGACAGUCAAGAAUUUGGAAUGUUUACUACUGUCACCUACUUCACAUUCUUUAGUUAGUUUGUUUGUAUAACUAUUUAUAUAAAAACAGAGUACUAAAAAGUAACCAUUAUGUGAACUGUAGGUGUUCAUAUAAGGCACAGUGAGUUCAUCAUAUCUCUACUAUAAGAUGUCUCUUCAACAAGACCAAAUUGCCCAAGAAAGGGAUGAUCUCAGAACUGGCUCCGUCUUAUGCCUUGAAACUCACUCUUUAUAUAAUCUUUUAUUUUUGUAUGAAUUAUGCCAUAAAACACAUAUUGCUUGGAGUAGUCCUCAGUAGCCACUUGAAUACGAGACAAAAGGUUCUUAUUCACAUUUUGAGCAUUGUUUAUAGAAGAAAAAUAAAUUUGUGUGAUAAUCUCCAGAUAAUUCCAUUUACUGCUUCCAUUUCUCUAUAGAUUUGUAUUGUCAAUGUACAAAUUAACUGAAUAAAAGGCAAAGAUAUUUGAUUACACAUUCACUUCUACAUAAAAGUAAUUAUAGAUCAGAACUAAGAGCAUGAUUAGGAGACCUUACACUUCUUGAAUAAUCCUUCAGUGAAUGUUUAAUACUAAAUUCUUCACCUCUAUUUUCAAAUGAUCUAGAGUGACCAUUCUAUUUUCUGCUAAGAAGUAAAUAAGAUUUAUGACUUUGAAAAUAAAUAGCCUUGAAUGUGACCAUCCAGAAGGUUAAGAUAUCCCUGUUAAUGAUUUUUAAAUAUUUAGGAGAUUAAUCACUAGGAAUAUUUGCACAUAUAAUGUCUCUGUGAAUUAUAGUUUAUAAACUUCAGGUAUAAUGGGGAAAGCUACCCAAUUUGGAUAUGACACAUUUUUUACAAAUGACAUAUUGAAGGCACUAAUCAAGUAUUAUAUGCAUUCAUAUACUUUUUAUAUAAGUAAUACAUUUUUAUGUAGCAACUGAAGACAGCAAUUUUUAAUCAUACCUUUACAACGUGGAAACCACCAUGUUAAUUUAUAUACCUUUUAUUACUGGUAAUACUAACACUGAUAUCAGUAUUUACUUGUAGCUAUCUUAUUUCAGAUAUCCAGUUUAAAUGAAUAUUUUAUAGGAUUAACUAUUUGCCAUUUUCCACAUUUAAUAUUUAAUUUUCCAAUUUUGCCUGUUAGAUUUUGAUUCAAACCAUUUAAGAUGAUGUAAUAAUAAAUUGAUAUUGAUGACUGCAAAAUUUCCCUGAUGUGUUUCAUCACAGGUAUAGGUAAUAAUGUUAAUAAUGCUAUUAUUUGUUAGACAUCUGCCUUAGAAUAGAGUAAUGUGUUAUAAUAAACAUCUCUCAUUACACCUUACUUAACCUUUACAAACCCCUUAAGUUGUUGUUCUUUUUUGUUCUACAGAUAGGAAAGGUGAAGUUGAGAAAAAAGAAUGUAAUCAACUUCCCUGGUGAAUCCUUUUCAAUGUUAAUAUAUUUGAGCAACAUACUAUGUACAACAUACUCCUUUUUGGUAUGUGGUGAGCUUUUGUGCAGGAAAAUGGCAAUGCAUUGUCAUCUUGGUAUAUUCUUUAGUUAUAUGAAUCAUGCUCAAAGCAGUCUAUUGUAUGGACACGUUUUUUCUCUUCUGAUGUAGUUAAAGAAAAUGGGGUGAAUUAUAAACCUAGAUGGUAGUUUUUAUAUAAAGUUUAUUCUCUGUCAGUAACAAAGCAAAUAUAAUAUAUAUAAUAUUGACUUUCUCAAAAUAAUUAUGAAUGAGUAUUGGUGACUGUGCAUCUCAUCAGAUUUCCAGGGAAGCUGACAUGAGUGCUGAUGAUAUGCCAAAUUUUUCAGCACAAGCAAGGCACAUGAGACCUGAUUGAUACUGCUGGAGUGAUGGGUUCAUUAUGCAAAUUGCAUGACAUCACUGUGGGAUGAUUUUCUUAUAAUUCCUUCCAUAGAUACAGAAGCGUGCAAAGAGGUCUAGAGGAACUUAAGGCAAAGAGAUCUUUGAACCUGAAAGGACAGAGGCAAUGUGAAUUGAAGUCAGAGGUCAACGUUCGGGAGUUGUUUUUUUCCUGUCCUGUGGCACUCUAACAUUGAACUCAGGUUUUUGGCCUUUAUAAGCUGAGACACAUUUCUGGUAUGUACAUUUCUUUUUAAAACAUAUUUACAUUAUAUGUGUAAGUGUUUACCUGCAGGUAUCUAGUGUAACAUGAAUAUGCAUGGUGACCUAGGAGACCAGACAAGAUGUCAUAUUCCUAUUUCCUGGAACUGGAGUUAUAAUUGGUAUGAAUGGUUAUCAUGUGAGUGCUGGGAGCCCUAUGAAAGUGGUAAGUCCUCUUAAUAUUGAGCCAUAUCCUAAGCUCAUGACAUUGCUUUCCUAAGGAGACAUUCCCAGCAGUAAAUUUUGAGACUUUAAUUUAGAUUUUCAGACUGUGAUUUUACAAUGCUUUUGUUGAUCUAGAUGGAAAAGUUCCAUCUUCUGCAAUCAACAAGUUUGAAAUUGGUGGGGAAAGCUUUUGGCUGAGGUUCUGAACUUUGUAAAACUUGAGAGAUUCAAAUCAUAUCCUCCAAUUUUUUGGUAUCUAAAGUUUGUGAUGUUUUGUAGUAAAAGCAGGCCUGAUGAUGAAAGUGCUCUCCAUCUAAAGCAGCUGUCUUGUAUUCACUGGAGUAAUUUAAAUCAUUUAAAGUAUUUACAUAGCUGACAAAGUGAGAGCAUAAGUGGCUGAUGUGAGAACAUCAAGACAGCUCCCAAAGAAAUCAUGUUCCUUUCAAUAUUGACUUCCCUAACUUGAUUUUCCAUAUCAGGUGGUCAGAAAUUCCAAAUUAUUUUUAGAUGUAAACAAUAAUUUUGAAAAGUCUGUUGACUGUGGCUUUAAUGUGAAGCACGAGUGUUAGUACUUUGCAAUUGUUUACUUCAUUUUAGAUUUACAAUAGCUUUCAGAGCUAAGUGUAAUAAUCUUCUCUUUGCAAUUUAAGAAACUGAGGCAUAGAGUCAUUCAGUAAUCUGCUUAAGGACAAAAACAAAUUCAGAUAACAGAAAUCAAGAAUCUUGAUUCUGACUAUUCUUUUUUGUAUAAAAACUCUAGUGGUGUUGAUUAUAUGAAUUUUUAUAGAAAAAAGCUUAUUGUUAGAUGCUAUUGUUGAAUGUUUGUCUUUUAUGGACCUGUUACUUAGUGCAUUGCUAAAAUUUACUUGUGGAAUAUUCAUAUCAACAUUCUGAGAAGGAUGAAUAGUCUCAUUUCAGAGAUGAAAGAUCUGAAGUCACAUUACAUCCAUAUUUCACAAUUUUAAGAACUGAGAAAGUUGGGAUUUUCUUUCAUUUGGAUAGAUUGAAACUUUAACAAUUGUGCUGAUAGUCCUGUUAUCCAACUACAAGCAUUAUAAUUUGACUGAAGCUAGAUUUGCCUGUAGAAAAAAAGCUUAUGUUUAUGUAUGCUAAACGUGUUGUCUGUGCAGUAGAAAAAUCUUAGCUACUGAUACACAAGGUCAAGUCAUGUCUUUGGAGAUUUAAUGCAAUGAUGUGAAUACUGAAAGUAUAUACUAAGUGCCUUGGAACCAUCUCUUAUUCUAUCUAGAAUGCACUUAGAAUCCUAGACUGCCAAGCCUAGAUUAGAAAGAUAUUAGGGGUCAUCCAGUUCAGUAUUCUUCUUUUACAAAUUAAAAUUCAAACAAGCACAGAUAAUAUGGAUUUAUAUUGUGUUUUAAUAGCCUUCUAAAUUUCUUCUAAAAUAUUUUCUAUUUAUUUUUUAGAAAAUUAAACUUCUUUUUCUACAGUCUGUAUUUAUAUCAAGAAAUUGCAUAUUAAGUGACUACUUCCAGCUGCAUCAAAAUAUAAUGUCCCUAUUCAUCCUAAUCUUCUCUCUUAUAACAGAACAAAUAAACACAGAUGGCUUCAGAAAGAUGACUACAACAUGGCAGGCUAUGUAGGAAUCAUGGUACCUGGGAAGCAUAUUACUGUACAGUUCCUAGAGCUUUCAAUUUAUGUUCCAUAUAUCUUUAAAGGGCUCUAGCAAAGACACAGGACUUAAAAGAACUGUGGUCAAAAAAUCCAUACAAUGUUAAAUAUUGUUUACUGUAACUGAAAGAUUUGAAAAACGGGAAAUACAGAAAAUAGAAACUUUGUUAAAUUUUAUUUGUUUUAAUUUUUCAUAAAACAUAAUCUGAUCAUGUUCUUUUAGGAAAAUAUAUCCAUUUCAGGCAAACACCAAUGAAAAAAGUGCCCCAUCAGCAUAGUUCUAGUUGAACGUAUUGUGGAGCUGGUAUUGUUUGCUUCCAAUGCUACUGAAGCUUUCUAAUGCAAUCCCAUUCAUUUGUAGUCUAGUUUUCAUGGAAACAAUCAUGAAGUUGCUCUUCCAUGCCCUAUGUACAUAUGUUUCUCUAAUUCCUUCACAGAAAGUGGCAAUCACAUAUCUCUCAUUCAGUGCAAACAAUCUGGUUUAUGUACCUCCAGGAUAGCAUUUGUAGUCACUGCUCUUAGGGGAGCACAGUAGAAAGUAGCCAAACUUUGGCAAGACUGAACAGUAUGAUGUAAGUCAGACCUAGUUAGCAUGCUACCUUUAAUGUCAUUUGGACAUAAAGGGAAAAAUAAAUGUCUACAUACAAUUCUCCAUCAUAAGAACAUCAACCGUUAAAUUAUAACCUUUGCCCAUUACAGAAAAUGAAUUCUUGAUGACCUUUUGUUUUCAGCACCCACAUAAUGGCUGACCAACAUCUGUAACUUAAUUUCUAUGAAAUCUGGCACCUAGCUGUGGCCUAUGACGACAUCACGUACAUACAUGGUAUAGAUCCAUGCACUCCAAUAGGCACAAAAGCAUGCACAUAAAAUAGGCAAGUCCUUUUUUUUUUUUAAAAGACCACUUGUAAGAUUAUGGAAGGACAAGUUAAAUGAUUGGAAAUUAUAUUUACAAAUACUACAACAGAACUAUUAUUUAGCAUUAGCAAUAUGCGUUGAAAACUGAAUAUUUAAAACUAAAGGACUUCUGGUGUUGUAAAUAAAUAUAUUGGAAUGAUUUGGCCUGUUGUGGUGACACCAAAAUUUGAACUGAAACUGACAAGCUGCUAGAUGUGUAUGAGAGUAAAUUAAAAAAAAAAAAAGUUGAGUUACCCAGUUAAAAGUAGAGUCCUGUGCACUGAUGACAUCUACCUCCAGGAGUUGUCCAAGUUCAUCAGAAUAGGUGCUAGGAAAUUCCUUCUGGCCACCAGAACAUGAGUCAGUUUGAAAUAUAAUAUUACACAUACUCUUCUUAUCCAUGCCUCUUCUCAGGAGAAUCUAAUUGACCACUGUCAUAUUUGUAAGAAUUUUUUUUUGCCAGAGUUCAAUUUACCUAAGAGGAGAAUACCAGCCAGUACCUCAGUGUAAGAAAUAUCAAGAAGUACUUGCAAAGAUCAAAGGACAUAGGCCCAUGCUCGGAUAAACCAGUUACCUAUAUAAAACCACGGGGUGCUAUAUACCCCCUCUAAGGUUUACAACUAUAUUACAAAAGGACUAUUUGGUUUUACUUUUUAUCUAAAAUUUCAUGUCCUCAUUCAACAAAAAAUUAUGAGACAUGCGAUUAGAAAAACCGUUUUUGAAGAAAUCGAACAGAUACCAAAAUCUGAUGCAGAUAUAUCAGAUAAAUCGGGACUUCCAGAAAGGUAAUUUUAAAUAUGGAAAAAAUCACUAUUGGAGAAAUGUACUGAAAAAAAAAACAAGAAUAGAAGAGUGAUGUUGUCUGCAUAAUGUGAUUCUCGAAAGUAAAGAGAGAAGGCGAAAAGAAAAAAAAUAUUUGAAGGAAUAAUGGUUGAAAUUUUCACUUAAGCUACAUAACCAUAGAUUAAAAAACUCCGAAAAACAUCCUGCAAGAUAAAUAUCUCCUCUUCCCCUCAAAAAUGCAUGUAAUCAUCUCCUAUUCUACAUUCAAUAUAUCAAACAAAAAGAAAUCUUGAAACAAGACAGAAAAGUAAAGAAGGUUUAAAAUAAAAUAA